rnacentral:lncRNA from 1 species
CAUUUAACUGUCUGCAAAGAAUGAAACAGUUUAUUGAGGAUGGUGCACGUCUUUGAUUGUAGCACUGGGCACUGGAAAAGCAGAGGCAGGCUAAUCUCUGGAUAUUGAAGACAACUUUCUAAGUCUAGUUUACUUGGCACCAGUGUCCUCAUCCUGCUUCUGCCAACUGUGCAUUGACAUCCUAGCCAUCGAAGUGACGAAGUGAGGAGAGGAAUGCUUCCAUCAAUGUUAUAAAUCUACCAAGAGAGCAAGCAGGACCCUAGCAUGGCUGCCUUCCCAGAAGCUCAAUGAGCAGCUGAAAGAGCCAGAUGCAGAUACUUACACCCAAUCAAUGGACAGAAGCCGGUGACCUCUGUGGUUGAAUUAUGGAAAGGCUGGAAGAAAGCUGAGAAGGAGGGCUACCCUGUAGAAAGAACAUCAGUUUCUUAAUCUGGAUGCUGGAGAUCUCUUGGUCACUGAUCCACCAACCAGGCUGCAGGUCUGCUUGGGAUCAUAAACUAUGCCUGUCAUCUUUGAAUCCCUAGCCUUUAGCUCUCACACCCACUGUAGAUGCUCAAUAAGGAACAGGAGCACAUAUCUGAAUUUAUUUCACAACGCUGAGUGGAAGAUGUAAAAUGGUCCUUUAUUGUCUCUGAGCUACACCUUCCACUGGGGAAUCAGCAGAGUAAUGAACACAGAUGAAGCCUGCAACAAGCACGCCAGGUUCUGAUUACUUUUACUUCUUUGCUAAAGGACAUACCUGAGGGUAAAACAUCUUAGUUUUAUUCUGUGCGGCAAGUGGCACACCAAAGAGAUUAAAUGGUAACUGUAGAGUGGCUUCAGAGGAGGCAAGGUCCUUAGGGGGAGAACUUCAAACCUGCAACAGCAUUCAUUCAAUGAGGCUUGAUGAACCCCAGAAGGAGGAGCAAUGAUGCUGAGGUGUUUCAGAGAUUGAUAAGCAAGGUGUCGGAGAAUGAAGGGCCACCAUCUUCUGAGUUUGUUGUGUGAUGAGGACUAGAGCAAGGGUUUCUUGGAUUUUCUUCACUGUGUAUCUGAAGGUCAGAGGGCAGCUUGCAGGAGGCAGAUGUCUCCUUCCUGCACCUGUAACGGAACUCAGGUCAUCAGACUUUGCAGUAAGCAGAUUGACCCAUGAGCCAUCUCACCAGCCCUCACCUUGAUUUUCAUUAAAUUAUUUCAUUUAU